rnacentral:rRNA from 1 species
UACGUAGGGCGCAAGCGUUGUCCGGAAUUAUUGGGCGUAAAGAGCUCGUAGGCGGCUUGUCACGUCGGGUGUGAAAUCCCGGGGCUUAACCCCGGGUCUGCAUUCGAUACGGGCUAGCUAGAGUGUGGUAGGGGAGAUCGGAAUUCCUGGUGUAGCGGUGAAAUGCGCAGAUAUCGGGAGGAACACCGGUGGCGAAGGCGGUUCUCUGGGCCUUACCUGACACUGAGGAGCGAAAGCGUGGGGAGCGAACAGG